GGAAGGUGAUCUGGCGUGGCGCCAGACCUCGCUCGAAACGAGUGGGCGUCCUGACGGGCGUGGGGUUCGACUCCUCCGCCUUCCU
rnacentral:tRNA from 1 species